rnacentral:rRNA from 1 species
AACGAACGCUGGCGGCAUGCCUAACACAUGCAAGUCGAACGAGACCUUCGGGUCUAUUGGCGCAUGGGUGCGUAACGCGUGGGAACCUGCCCUUAGGUUCGGAAUAACUCCCCGAAAGGGGUGCUAAUACCGGAUAAGGUCUUCGGACCAAAGAUUUAUCGCCUUUGGAUGGGCCCGAGUUGGAUUAGCUAGUUGGUAGGGUAAAAGCCUACCAAGGCGACGAUCCAUAGCUGGUCUGAGAGAAUGAUCAGCCACACUGGGACUGAGACACGGCCCAGACUCUUACGGGAGGCAGGAGUGGGGAAUAUUGGAAAAUGGGCGGAAGCCUGAUCCAGCACUGCCGGGUGAGUGAUGAAGGCCUUAGGGUUGUAAAGCUCUUUUACCCGGGAUCAUAAUGACAGUACCGGGAGAAUAAGCUCCGGCUAACUCCGUG